CCUACGGGAGGCAGCAGUGAGGAAUAUUGGUCAAUGGACGAGAGUCUGAACCAGCCAAGUAGCGUGAAGGAUGACUGCCCUAUGGGUUGUAAACUUCUUUUAUAAAGGAAUAAAACGAGGCACGUGUGCCUUUUUGCAUGUACUUUAUGAAUAAGGAUCGGCUAACUCCGUGCCAGCAGCCGCGGUAAUACGGAGGAUCCGAGCGUUAUCCGGAUUUAUUGGGUUUAAAGGGAGCGUAGAUGGGUUGUUAAGUCAGUUGUGAAAGUUUGCGGCUCAACCGUAAAAUUGCAAUUGAUACUGGCAGUCGUGAGGACAGUUGAGGUAGGCGGAAUGCGUGGUGUAGCGGUGAAAUGCUUAGAUAUCACGAAGAACCCCGAUUGCGAAGGCAGCUUACUAAACUGUGACUGACAUUGAUGCUCGAAAGUGUGGGUAUCAAACAGGAUUAGAUACCCCAGUAGUC
rnacentral:rRNA from 1 species